rnacentral:sRNA from 1 species
AACUCAGUACAUUUGAUAGUGUACGUUUAAUAUAAUUGGUGCUUAACCAAUUAAAGAAAGAGUAG